rnacentral:rRNA from 1 species
CAGCCGCCACGGGAAUACGGAGGGAGCUAGCGCUGUUCGGAAUUACUGGGCGUAAAGCGCACGUAGGCGGCUACUCAAGUCGGGGGUGAAAGCCCGGGGCUCAACCCCGGAACUGCCCUCGAAACUAGGUAGCUAGAAUCUUGGAGAGGUCAGUGGAAUUCCGAGUGUAGAGGUGAAAUUCGUAGAUAUUCGGAAGAACACCAGUGGCGAAGGCGACUGACUGGACAAGUAUUGACGCUGAGGUGCGAAAGCGUGGGGAGCAAACAGGAUUAGAGACCCCGGUAGUCCCUGUCUCUUAUAC